rnacentral:rRNA from 1 species
UACGUAGGUGACCAGCGUUGUCCGGAUUUACUGGGCGUAAAGAGCGCGCAGGCGGUCGUUCAAGUCGAGUGUGAAAGCCCCCGGCUCAACUGGGGAGGGUCACUCGAUACUGAUCGACUUGAAGGCAGGAGAGGGAAGCGGAAUUCCCGGUGUAGUGGUGAAAUGCGUAGAUAUCGGGAGGAAUACCAGUGGCGAAGGCGGCUUUCUGGGCCUGUUCUGACGCUGAGGAGCGAAAGCGUGGGGAGCAAACCGG